rnacentral:rRNA from 1 species
GACGAACCGUCCAAACGUUAUUCGGAAUCACUGGGCUUACAGAGUUCGUAGGCGGUCUGGAAAGUUGGGUGUGAAAUCCCUCGGCUCAACCGAGGAACUGCGCUCAAAACUGCCAGACUCGAGGGAGAUAGAGGAAAGCGGAACUGAUGGUGGAGCGGUGAAAUGCGUUGAUAUCAUCAGGAACACCGGUGGCGAAGGCGGCUUUCUGGGUCUUACCUGACGCUGAGGAACGAAAGCUAGGGGAGCGAACGGG